rnacentral:rRNA from 1 species
UACGUAGGGUGCGAGCGUUAAUCGGAAUUACUGGGCGUAAAGCGUGCGCAGGCGGUUUUGUAAGCCAGAUGUGAAAUCCCCGGGCUCAACCUGGGAAUGGCAUUUGGGACUGCAAGGCUGGAGUUUGGCAGAGGAGACUGGAAUUCCUGGUGUAGCAGUGAAAUGCGUAGAUAUCAGGAGGAAUACCGAUGGCGAAGGCAGGUCUCUGGGCUAUAACUGACGCUCAUGACACGAAAGCGUGGGGAGCAACAGG